GUAGCAUAAUCACUUGUUCUUUAAAUGGGGACUAGUAUCAACGGCAUCACGAGGGUCCUACUGUCUCCUCUCUCCAAUCAAUGAAACUGAUCUCUCCGUGAAGAAGCGGGGAUUUAACUAUAAGACGAGAAGACCCCAUGGAGCUUUAAACCCGACUACACCUCCACCUCUUAUACCCACAUAAUCAACGGAAUACUGUACAUCGGUUUUGGGUUGGGGUGACCACGGAGCACAAACUAACCUCCAUGAUGAAUAAGACUAACCCUUUAUCUAAGAGACACAUCUCUAAGAAUUAGCACACUAACAUAAAAUGAUCCGAUAUUCGAUCAACGAACCAAGUUACCCUGGGGAUAACAGCG
rnacentral:rRNA from 1 species